AUAGAUACCUGUAGUCCAUGCCGUAAACGAUGAAUGCUAAGUGUUGGAGGGUUUCCCCCUUCAGUGCUGCAGCUAACGCAUUAAGCAUUCCGCUGGGGAGUACGACCGCAAGGUUGAAACUCAAAGGAAUUGACGGGGGCCCGCACAAGCGGUGGAGCAUGUGGUUUAAUUCGAAGCAACGCGAAGAACCUUACCAGGUCUUGACAUCUAGCGCCAACCUCAGAGAUGAGGUGUUCCCUUCGGGGACGCUAAGACAGGUGGUGCAUGGUUGUCGUCAGCUCGUGUCGUGAGAUGUUGGGUUAAGUCCCGCAACGAGCGCAACCCUUAUUAUCAGUUGCCAGCAUUCAGUUGGGCACUCUGGUGAGACUGCCGGUGACAAACCGGAGGAAGGUGGGGACGACGUCAAAUCAUCAUGCCCCUUAUGACCUGGGCUACACACGUGCUACAAUGGACGGUACAACGAGUUGCGAACUCGCGAGGGUAAGCUAAUCUCUUAAAGCUGUUCUCAGUUCGGAUUGUAGGCUGCAACUCGCCUACAUGAAGCCGGAAUCGCUAGUAAUCGCGGAUCAGCACGCCGCGGUGAAUACGUUCCCGGGCCUUGUACACACCGCCCGUCACACCACGAAAGUUUGUAACACCCAAAGUCGGUGAGGUAACCUUCGGGAGCCAGCCGCCUAAGGUGGGGUAGAUGAUUGGGGUGAAGUCGUAACAAGGUAACCA
rnacentral:rRNA from 1 species